GGCGAUGCCUGUAUAAAUGUGAACAUAUGGCUUCGGUUGAAGGAUUCAACCAAAUCCAAACAAAUAAGCUAUUAUCUUUGAACAGGUCGACUUUGAUCCAAGGAGUUGUGGUUGUAAUGGAGGAUUCAUAAAGGAAAACGAGUGAAUCACCACUCAGAACAACUAUUCCGACUAUAAUGUUUAGACGAAUACUGUCGCUCAUCAGCAAUGAUGAAUUCACCGAGUGUAACGAUUGAUAGAAUGAGGAAGUACCUGAAAACGACGAGAACGCUAUAUGAUGAAAGCCAUCGCACACCAACCGAUCACAGUCGGCAUAAUAGCCGCCUCAAGAUCGGAUUUCCAGUUGCGUAGUUGUCAAUGGAUGGAGUACGUAAUUUGCAUUUGUAAGGAGUGUUCAAAGGUUAUUGUGAAUCAUGGCUUAAUACGGAGUGGUGGCGAUUGGCUACGGAAUAGAUUACUGGAUCGCGAGUACCUCAUGGUGAACUGGCUGGGGAGAGGAUGGUUAUCCUCACAAGAGAUUACCCAGACCCUUGAAUAAACAACCUAUAGUUCC